UGAGGUAUUGUUAGGUAACCCUGUGUUCUCCCCCAGGUGAGGUAUUGUUAGGUAACCCUGUGUUCUCCCCCCAGGUGAGGUAUUGUUAGGUAACCCUGUGUUCUCCCUCCAGGUGAGGUAUUGUUAGGUAACCCUGUGUUCUCCUCCAGGUGAGGUAUUGUUAGGUAACCCUGUGUUCUCCUCCAGGUGAGGUAUUGUUUGGUAACCCUGUGUUCUCCCCCCAGGUGAGGUAUUGUUAGGUAACCCUGUGUUCUCUCCCCCAGGUGAGGUAUUGUUAGGUUACCCUGUGUUCUCCCUCCAGGUGAGGUAUUGUUAGGUAACCCUGUGUUCUCCCUCCAGGUGAGGUAUUGUUAGGUAACCCUGUGUUCUCCCC